rnacentral:rRNA from 1 species
GAACUGAAGAGUUUGAUCCUGGCUCAGAUUGAACGCUGGCGGUAUGCUUUACACAUGCAAGUCGAACGG